rnacentral:rRNA from 1 species
UACGGAGGGUGCGAGCGUUGUCCGGAAUCACUGGGCGUAAAGGGCGCGUAGGUGGCUUCUCAAGCGCGCGGUGAAAGCCCGGGGCUCAACCCCGGGUCGGCCGUGCGGACUGGGAGGCUCGAGCACUGUAGGGGCGGGUGGAAUUCCGGGUGUAGCGGUGGAAUGCGUAGAGAUCCGGAAGAACACCGGUGGCGAAGGCGGCCCGCUGGGCUGUGGCUGACGCUGAGGCGCGACAGCGUGGGGAGCAAACAGG